rnacentral:rRNA from 1 species
GACGAACGCUGGCGGCAUGCCUAACACAUGCAAGUCUAGGGGUAGCAAUACCACUGGCGCACGGGUGAGUAACACGUAGGUUAUCUGCCCCCAUCACAGACAUAACCCCGGGAAACCGGGGCUAAUAUCUGAUGAGGUCGCGAGAUCAAAGCUUCGGCGGAUGGGGAUGAGCCUGCGGCUGAUUAGCUAGUUGGUGAGGUAAUGGCUCACCAAGGCGACGAUCAGUAGCUGGUCUGAGAGGACGAACAGCCACACUGGAACUGAGACACGGUCCAGACUCCUACGGGAGGCAGCAGUGAGGAAUAUUGGUCAAUGGGAGCAAUCCUGAACCAGCAAUGCCGCGUGUGGGAUGACAGGGCUUCGCCUUGUAAAACCACUGUCGGACGGGACGAAAGGAGGCCUCGGGCCUCUGGGACGGUACCGUCAAAGGAAGGGUCGGCUAACUACGUGCCAGCAGCCGCGGUAAU